ensembl:lncRNA
AUAAAAUAAGCUGCAGUGAAACCAUAAAUGUUACCACUCGUUCCACUUACUUCCACAGUCUGAAACAAAAAAAGGGAACAUUUGUGCUGCUUUCAGCUGAAAGCACGCAGACAACUCCUUAUUAUUUACAGGGCAAAAUGAGCAUGCUAAUGCCCUACCGAGCACUCUCUGACUUCAGGACAUAGCGCAGAGAACUGGCUGCAUCAUUUGGUCAAGCUCUACAAUGUUUGCCUUCAUUCUUUCACUAAUGAUCUCUGUGCCUUGGCUAACUCAGGCUCAAGGUAAAGAGAGAGACAUUCAUCCAGCAAAGAUUUAUGGAAAGAAGACUUUUAAAGAGGGAGGAAAACUGCAGAUCACAUGUAGCACGUUUGGUCCCGAGACAGAAUGCGAGGAAGUUGUUAAUUAUCUGUGUAGGGAUGGUAUUGGAAUAGAGAAGAAAAUAUCAAGGGAACGGGAUGUUCUUUUUAGCAUAGAUGGAAUAACAAAGGACUUUACAGGCAAUUACAGUUGCGUCUACUCAAAAACGGAGUACAGUGUUGAAGAAGUACGAGGACAAGGCUUCGAGUCCAUCUUCAUUACAGUGAAUGAAAACGUGAAUGACGCAGUAAGAAUUGUGGUGGGCUGUUCUAUUGCGCUCCUGCUUAUACUUUGCUUUCUGGGCCUUUAUGGAGUCGUUGAAAAGCAAGGAUGGUGCAGAUGCCACAGUGAAAGAUCGACUGAACAUGGCGCUGAAGCAAGAGGAGGAGACUUUUUAAGCCAAGGACAUAUUUCAUACACAAAUCAAAUGCAAAACCAGCCCAGGUGA